UGCAGCUGUCCGUCGGUCCCGCCGGCCUCGCCUGAGCCAACCCGCCCCGGGGGCGGGGAAGGAGGGAGGGGCGGCUCCUCGCCUUGGCCACUCCGGGGCACGCAGCGCACCUUGAAACAGCGACGCGGAGCCCGCCGCCGCCGCAGAGAGGCAGAGGUAGGCGCGGACGGAGGGACAGAGGGGGCCUUUGCUGCCUGCAUCCGACGGCCAGGGCUAAGCGCGAGCGGCGGGACGCGCAGGUGCCGCUUCCGAGCCUCCUCCUGCCUGGCCAGGUACCGGGACGCGCCGCCCGCUCGGACGGGCGCUCCUCAGGCGACAGCGGCCGGCGGGGCAUGGUCGGCUCCGCUCGGGGCCAGGGGCUGGCGGCAAGGUGAAUCCGCUGCCGCCUGCCCGCCUCGUCCGGCCAGCAGCCACCGGGCAAGAUGGUCGUCGGCGAGGCCGCCGAGGUCGCCCUGCUCACUCUCGGUAUUUUAUUAGCAGUGUGCCAUGCCUUGGAGAACACAACGUCCGCCUUGAGUGCUGAUGUAACCAAGGAGAGAUUUGGUGUCUGUUCUUAUCCACAACAAUGUUAUCUUGGCUGCAUUUUGCUAACAAAAAUGGAAGGAGGUAAUAUCCGGUGCCAACUC